GGGGGUGCUAGGCUUCGACAGGUUGUGUACUUUUUAGCCUGCAAGUCAAGUUGUCAUAUUCUUGUAAAACUGUGACAAACCGUUUAAAUGCAAACACAAUUACUAAAGCAAAGAACGCAAUCGCGCAAGCUUUUGCACCAUCUUUCGCUGCCGCUGUAGCCUAACCAGGCAACAGCCCGUUAGCCAGGAGAUUCUCAAUAUUCUGAAUCUAACGUCAAUCUUUGAGAUGCAGCCAUUUUCCUCCUUUGAAAUGGACUAAGCGCACAGAAGGAAAAAACGCAUUAUUAUUUUUUGUCUGUUUCAAUUAAUAGUGUGUAAUAUCAAAUAGACUAAACUUGUAGAUGGUUUCAGAGAAUCAGCUUUGGACAUGGGUUCAAUUCCCAUCACCUCCACAU
rnacentral:tmRNA from 1 species